rnacentral:rRNA from 1 species
UAGGGAAUCUUCCGCAAUGGGCGAAAGCCUGACGGAGCAACGCCGCGUGAGUGAUGAAGGUCUUCGGAUCGUAAAACUCUGUUAUUAGGGAAGAAUAAAUGUGUAAGUAACUAUGCACGUCUUGACGGUACCUAAUCAGAAAGCCACGGCUAACUACGUGCCAGCAGCCGCGGUAAUACGUAGGUGGCAAGCGUUGUCCGGAUUUAUUGGGCGUAAAGCGAGCGCAGGCGGUCAAUUAAGUCUGAUGUGAAAGCCCCCGGCUCAACCGGGGAGGGUCAUUGGCAACUGGUUGACUUGAGUGCAGAAGAGGAGAGUGGUAUUCCAUGUGUAGCGGUGAAAUGCGUAGAUAUAUGGAGGAACACCAGUGGCGAAGGCGACUCUCUGGUCUGUUACUGACGCUGAGGCUCGAAAGCGUGGGUAGCAAACAGG